UCCCUUGUGACUCAGCUGGUAAAGAAUCUGCCUGCAAUGCAGGAGACCUGGGUUCAAUCCCUGGGUGGGGAA
rnacentral:tRNA from 1 species